AUGAACGCUGGCGGCGUGCCUAACACAUGCAAGUCGAACGAAGCAAUUAAGAUGAAGUUUUCGGAUGGAAUCUUGAUUGACUGAGUGGCGGACGGGUGAGUAACGCGUGGAUAACCUGCCUCACACUGGGGGAUAACAGUUAGAAAUGACUGCUAAUACCGCAUAAGCGCACAGUGCCGCAUGGCAGUGUGUGAAAAACUCCGGUGGUGUGAGAUGGAUCCGCGUCUGAUUAGCCAGUUGGCGGGGUAACGGCCCACCAAAGCGACGAUCAGUAGCCGACCUGAGAGGGUGACCGGCCACAUUGGGACUGAGACACGGCCCAAACUCCUACGGGAGGCAGCAGUGGGGAAUAUUGCACAAUGGGCGAAAGCCUGAUGCAGCGACGCCGCGUGAGUGAAGAAGUAUUUCGGUAUGUAAAGCUCUAUCAGCAGGGAAGAAAAUGACGGUACCUGACUAAGAAGCCCCGGCUAACUACGUGCCAGCAGCCGCGGUAAUACGUAGGGGGCAAGCGUUAUCCGGAUUUACUGGGUGUAAAGGGAGCGUAGACGGCGAAGCAAGUCUGAAGUGAAAACCCAGGGCUCAACCCUGGGACUGCUUUGGAAACUGUUUUGCUAGAGUGUCGGAGAGGUAAGUGGAAUUCCUAGUGUAGCGGUGAAAUGCGUAGAUAUUAGGAGGAACACCAGUGGCGAAGGCGGCUUACUGGACGAUAACUGACGUUGAGGCUCGAAAGCGUGGGGAGCAAACAGG
rnacentral:rRNA from 1 species